AGAAAGUGUUGCAUGAUGAAAUUGACAUUGCAUAAAAUAUAGAAAUCAACGACAACGGAAGCCCGCAAUGAACGGUGUUUUAUCUUUUGCUGACGACAACUUCCAAAUCUACUUAGGACCAGGAUUUUUUAAGGGAAAAAGAAAUCUUCAUAGGGAUACAUAGAUUGAACAUUUUCUAAAUGGAUCCACAGAACUCUGUGUCUCACCUGCAGUUGCUGCUGUUAGUGUAAAAGUGUGAUGUUGACUAUAAAACAACAGAAUGAAGAAUUCCAAGAGUCUAAUACGGUUUAUUUAACAGGAUUUUAUCAUUGAAUCAACAUCCUACAAGAAUAUAACAUACAAAUAAGUAAUUAUGUGCAGGGAAGAACAUUUAAACAAAACUGUAAGAGACAUACAGUGGUGUAUUUUUAAAGAGAUCGAAAGAACCUGUAAUAACUUGCCAUGAGUGUAUAUUUUCCAAACCAGAAGCUCGUUCAUAAUAAUAUACAAUUUAAAUUAAAAUUAUUGUAUGAACAUUACAGAUAAAGUCUCAAAAUAGAAAAUUUAGUUUCAAAUGAAACAUUUAAGUACAAAACAUUGAAAUAGUCCUUUCCAUGUUGUGGGACAUGUAGAAAGUUUAUGCUUUCACCAUUCAUGUAGCUCCAUAUAGAGGAAUACCAUACCAAAAAAAAACGCAUUCGUAUCCGACAGCAAUCAAUCGAUAAAAAACACCAAUUAACAUGACAUGAGACAAGCAAUGAGAAGGUUCCUACCUUGGUACAGGCGUUUGAAAACUACUGAAGAGCUGUCUUAAAAAGGCAUUAAAGUUUUAUUUUUAUUGAGAAAAUAUAUGUCAAAUUUUAAUUUUGUUCCCA